AGUGAACGCUGGCGGUAGGCCUAACACAUGCAAGUCGAACGGCAGCACAGUAAUAGCUUGCUCUUACGGGUGUCGAGUGUCGGACGGGUGAGGAAUACAUCGGAAUCUACUUUUUCUUGGGGGAUAACGUAGGGAAACUUACGCUAAUACCGCAUACGACCUACUGUUUUAAUCCUGUGUUCUUCUUACCUUUCGCGUUUUAUUGAGCCGAUGUCGGAUUAGCUAGUUGGCGGGGUAAAGGCCCACCAAGGCGACGAUCCGUAGCUGGUCUGAGAGGAUGAUCAGCAACACUGGAAGUGAGACACGGUACAGACUACUACGGGAGGCAGCAGUGGGGAAUAUUGGACAAUGGGGGAAAGCAUGAUACAGCAAAACCGCGUGGGUGAAGAAGGACUUCGGGUUGUAAAGCCCUUUUGUUGGGAAAGAAAAGAAGCAGGUUAAUACCACGAUGUUAUGACGGUACCAAAAGAAUAAGCACCGGCUAACUUCGUG
rnacentral:rRNA from 1 species